CUACACUCGACAAGUAAAAGAGCAUGACUGAGGGGGCAGGGUCUUGAAAAAUCCAGGAAACACCUUUACAUGCCUUGGCCCAUACUCGCCUUCCUGUCCUUUUUCAUCUUGACAACUGUCCCUGGCCUGGAGUCAUGAGCCUCCUGGCCCUAGUCCCUCCGGGUGAGAACUGCCAUCACCAGAAAUCUUCCCUCUGCCCAGCAGGUGAUGUCAACAGUGGCACUUCUGGCCUUGAAGAAUGGACUUGCUCUGCGGAACACGGGUUGGCUGAGGACUGGAUCUCUCCAGUGUUGUAUUUGGGUUUCCGGACAAAGCAGAAACGUUUUCAACUUAGAGUUAGUCUACCUGGUAGCCUUCCAGAUGGCUGCAGCCUGUCUGUUUGUAAUGGGAAAGAAGUCCUGAUGAAUGUCCAGACGCCCUGUGUGCCAUCUGGAUCCUGGUGUAAAGAAGGCCAGUCAAGAUGGACGUGCUUCACCCAUUUGUUGAGUGCCAGCACUUUGCCGCACAGAACAGAGAUUACAUGGCCUGCCCACCCAACAGGCCGACGAUCACAGGACCCUGUGUGUCCCUGUGGAUGUCUCCAACUCAGCUUAUAUUUUAAAAGAAAAUAA
rnacentral:lncRNA from 12 species